UGAAAGCUUUAGCGUCUGAGGAUGGGUCUGCGGCCGAUUAGGUAGUUGCUGGGGUAACGUCCCAACAAGCCGAUAAUCGGUACGGGUUGUGAGAGCAAGAGCCCGGAGAUGGAUUCUGAGACACGAAUCCAGGUCCUACGGGGCGCAGCAGGCGCGAAAACUUUACACUGCGCGAAAGCGCGAUAAGGGGACCUCGAGUGCGUGCGCAAUGCGUACGCUUUUCAGAUGCCUAAAAAGCAUCUGGAAUAAGGGCCGGGCAAGACCGGUGCCAGCCGCCGCGGUAACACCGGCGGCUCAAGUGGUGGCCGCUAUUAUUGGGCUUAAAGGGUCCGUAGCCGGACCAGUUAGUCCCUUGGGAAAUCUUACGGCUUAACCGUAAGGCUGCCAAUGGAUACUGCUGGUCUUGGGACCGGGAGAGGCAAGAGGUACCUCAGGGGUAGGAGUGAAAUCCUGUAAUCCUUGAGGGACCGCCAGUGGCGAAGGCGUCUUGCUAGAACGGGUCCGACGGUGAGGGACGAAAGCUAGGGGCACGAACCGGAUUAGAUACCCGGGUAGUCCUAGCCGUAAACGAUGCGAGCUAGGUGUCACGUGGAUUGCGAAUCCAUGUGGUGCCGAAGGGAAACCGUGAAGCUCGCCGCCUGGGAAGUACGGCCGCAAGGCUGAAACUUAAAGGAAUUGGCGGGGGGAGCACCACAACGGGUGGAGCCUGCGGUUUAAUUGGAUUCAACGCCGGA
rnacentral:rRNA from 1 species